rnacentral:rRNA from 1 species
GACGAACGCUGGCGGCGUGCCUAAUACAUGCAAGUAGAACGCUGAAGCUUGGUGCUUGCACCGAGCGGAUGAGUUGCGAACGGGUGAGUAACGCGUAGGUAACCUGCCUGGUAGCGGGGGAUAACUAUUGGAAACGAUAGCUAAUACCGCAUAACAGUAGAUAUCGCAUGAUAGCUACUUGAAAGGUGCAAAUGCACCACUACCAGAUGGACCUGCGUUGUAUUAGCUAGUUGGUGAGGUAACGGCUCACCCAGGCAACGAUACAUAGCCGACCUGAGAGGGGGAACGGCCACCCUGGGACUGGGACACGGCCCAGACUCCUACGGGAGGCAGCAGUAGGGAAUCUUCGGCAAUGGACGGAAGGCUGACCGAGCAACGCCGCGUGAGGGAAGAAGGUUGUCGGAUCGGAAAGCUCUGUUGUAAGAGAAGAACGAGUGUGAGAGUGGAAAGUUCACACUGUGACGGUAUCUGACCAGAAAGGGACGGCUAACUACGUG